CGUAGAUGUCACAGUUGCGGGGAUAGCUCAGUUGGGAGAGCGUCAGACUGAAGAUCUGAAGGUCACGUGUUCGAUCCACGUUCACCGCAU
rnacentral:tRNA from 1 species